GCCCUUCUUAGUCAUGAUAGUGAAGAAUGUGAAGAAGUACUUCACAUUCGAAAUUCAGGUUUUAGAUGAUAAAAAUGUCCGGAGAAGAUUUCGAGCUUCUAAUUAUCAAGCGGUAACCCGAGUGAAACCCUAUAUUUGCACUAUGCCCUUGAAAUUGGAUGAAGGAUGGAAUCAAAUCCAGCUGAACCUUUCUGAUUUGACCAGGCGAGCUUAUGGAACCAACUAUGUUGAAACUCUUCGAGUUCAGGUUCAUGCAAAUUGCAGGCUAAGGAGGAUAUACUUUUCUGACCGUCUGUAUUCAGAGGAGGAACUCCCACCAGAAUUCAAACUUUACCUUCCAAUGCAGAAAUCUUGAAGAUCUUCUCUUAAAACCAGCAGACGAGGCGCUUUGGUUGUCGACAUUCGCCUGCAGACUGGUAUAUCAAUCUUGGAGUGAAACAUUUUCAUCUUUUGGAAAUGUUGAUUACCCUUGAGUGGGUAGCACCUGGAGUUUAUGUUUCUAGAGUAGUUUAUUAAAGAGUACUUGUACGAUAUCUCAAUUAUUUGUCUUUCACAUAACGUUUGAAGUUAGGUAUAACGUACACAUGGGUAACAUGAUGAGUGUCAUAAUUGUCUUUUUAUAUAAACUGAAGUAUAUGUUGGAAGUGACGAUACAUGAAUAGACUUCUAUCGUCUCUCAAAUAA
rnacentral:misc_RNA from 1 species